UUUUACCAUUUGUAUAGCUCAGUUUGGUACCGCAUGAGAAUCUUAAUCUCAGGUUCAUGGGUUUGAACCCCAUAUUGGGUGAAAU